UGGGGAAUAUUGCACAAUGGGCGCAAGCCUGAUGCAGCCAUGCCGCGUGUAUGAAGAAGGCCUUCGGGUUGUAAAGUACUUUCAGCGGGGAGGAAGGCGAUAAGGUUAAUAACCUUGUCGAUUGACGUUACCCGCAGAAGAAGCACCGGCUAACUCCGUGCCAGCAGCCGCGGUAAUACGGAGGGUGCAAGCGUUAAUCGGUAUUACUGGGCGUAAAGCGCACGCAGGCGGUCUGUCAAGUCGGAUGUGAAAUCCCCGGGCUCAACCUGGGAACUGCAUUCGAAACUGGCAGGCUAGAGUCUUGUAGAGGGGGGUAGAAUUCCAGGUGUAGCGGUGAAAUGCGUAGAGAUCUGGAGGAAUACCGGUGGCGAAGGCGGCCCCCUGGACAAAGACUGACGCUCAGGUGCGAAAGCGUGGGGAGCAAACA
rnacentral:rRNA from 1 species